AGUCUUCAUCCACUAAACUGAGAGGCGCGGAGCGAGCUUAUUCCCCGCUCCCGGGCCAAGCCCAGCUGCGGGUCCCGCCCGCCGCGCUCCUCCCUCCUAGGAAGAGCAUGAGACCUCACCUAUGAACUUGCCCUCCCACGUAUUGUCAAGAGCCGUGGAGGACUGGUGCUGUGGUAGAGAUGACGUGGCGGGCGGGCCGCUGGAAAGAGAUGACGCGAAAACGGGCCUUAGAGAGGGUGCGGAGGGAGCACCUGGCCUGAAGGAGUCGGGGCUGAGAGCUGGGGGUUUCAGUCCCAGUGCUGCGAAGGCUUUCGAGCUUUGGAACAGAAUCACUGACCGGAGACUGGCCUACUCAGCCCAGCCUGGGAGGCCGGGCAGUGCCCAAGGGAGACGGACGAUAGGGAGGGAGCGCCUGGAUGGAGGGUCUCAAGCGGAGUGAGGAGGCCCCGGGCCCUGUGGGGAAGUGGGUGGGGGAAGGUAUACGGCCAGGUGAGCACCCAGGGACGCCCACAGUAUCUGGAAGGAGACCACGGAAUGGAGAGCACCUGUUGCCUCUGGAGAGGGGACCUAUAGAGCAGGAAUUGUUAAAUCAUAUGGCUGUAUCACCUACUUUUAGAAAUAAAUAAUAGGCUACUCGGGAGGCUGAGGCUGGAGGUUCAAUCGCUUGACCUGGGAGGCGGAGAUUGCGGUGAGCCUAGAUCUUGCCACUGCUCUCCAGCCUGAGCGACAGAGCGAGACUCCGUCUCAAAAUAAUAAUAGUAACAAUAGAAAUAACAGAGAAUGGCCUGGAGAUAGUGAGUGCAAAAGUGCGAGCUGGGAGAUCAGUGAGCCUUUUGUAGUCUUCCAGGAGACAGGUGAUUGUGGCUUGGAGCAGAGGGAAGUAAAAAGUGAGCAAAGAAAUAUUUUGCCCACUUUGAGAAAUAUUUGAGGAAUAUUUUGGAGACAAAAGUAUCAGAACUUGGAAUGGAUGGAUGUAAGGGCAUGAGGACGUCGAAUAUGAUUUCCAAGCUUCUGGCUUGUGCAGGUGGGUGGCUGUGGGGCUGUUUACUGAUAAGGGAAAACAAGGGAAGAGCAAAGGUUCAGGUCCGUGUUAAGCUCGAGGUCAAGGCCUUUGACUCGUUCUGGAUGAAAUGUGGAGACCACGAUGCCGGGUGCGGUGGUUCACGCUUGUAAUCCCAUCACUUUGGGAGGCCGAGGCGGGCGGAUCGCUUAAGCCCGGGAGUUCAAGACCAGCCUAGCCCACAUGGCCAAACCCCGUCCCUACAAAAAAUAUAAAAAUUAGCAGGACAUGGUGGCUCAUGUACGCCUGUAGUCCCAGCUACUCAGGAGGCUGAGGCGGGAGGAACCUUGAGCCCGGGAGGCAGAGGUUGCAGUGAGCCGUGAUUGUGCCAUUGUACUCCAGCCUGGGCGACAAAAGUGAAACCAUGUGUUAAAAAAAAAAAAAAGAAAAGAAAAAGAAAAAUUAUGGAGACCGUGGGAUGUGGGUGGGAUCUGGGAUUCUAAGACAGGCUUCACCCACAAGGUAGAGCCCAGGUCCCUUUGUUGUGAGACCUCAAACCCUUUCAAGACUUAGUCAAGGGCCUAGCUUCAUUCCAGUUGGAGUUAGAGCAGAAGAAAAUGAAAUUACAUGAAUGUUCAUAGCAGUACCAUUUCACAGUAGCCAAAAGAGAAGCAAUCCAUGCAGUGAUGGAUGGAUGCAUGAAUAAAGAUGAUGUGUGUACAUACAA
rnacentral:lncRNA from 1 species